GAUCCAUAUUGAAACCAGAAUUAGUAGCCUAGAAAAUGGCCUGCAAGAAAUAUCCCAAACACUUGAGGAAAAAACUAUAGAAAUGGAAAUCAUGAAGAAAAAUUUUAGAGACUUAGAGUCUAUAUCCAGGAGACCUAAUAUAUGAAUAACAGAUAUUUUAGAAGGAUAAAGGGAGAUAGAUGAGAGGAGGUAGUAUUUAGACAAAUAAAAGGAAAAAUAAGAAAAGAAGAGUAGAA